UACGUAGGGUGCAAGCGUUGUCCGGAAUUAUUGGGCGUAAAGAGCUCGUCGGCGGUCUGUCGCGUCGGCUGUGAAAUCCCGAGGCUCAACCUCGGGUCUGCAGUCGAUACGGGCAAACUGGAGUGUUGCAGGGGAGACUGGAAUUCCUGGUGUAGCGGUGAAAUGCGCAGAUAUCAGGAGGAACACCGGUGGCGAAGGCGGUUCUCUGGGCCUUACCUGACGCUGAGGAGCGAAAGCGUGGGGAGCAAACAGG
rnacentral:rRNA from 1 species